rnacentral:rRNA from 1 species
UGGGGACCUUCCCUAUGGUUCGGAAUAGCUCAGGGAAACUUGGGGUAAUACCGGAUAAGCCCUUCGGGGGAAAGAUUUAUCGCCGAGAGAUCGGCCCGCGUCUGAUUAGCUAGUUGGUGAGGUAACGGCUCACCAAGGCGACGAUCAGUAGCUGGUCUGAGAGGAUGAUCAGCCACACUGGGACUGAGACACGGCCCAGACUCCUACGGGAGGCAG